rnacentral:lncRNA from 1 species
CUUCCCUCAGAUUUAUAACCGAGCCUCACAGCUUCCCGGCCAGCCGGCUCCCUCUUCCUCCCUCCCAGCUGACAGCAGGAAGCCUUGGCUGCCUCACCGGCUGGUAGAGGUCUGUCUGACCAGCACGACACAGCACAAGUGACACUCAGGGGGCUCCACCCCUAAGCGGCCUUGUGACCUCACCCAGCUGGGAAGCUGCUCCCAUGUAAAGGGGCCUGGAUUCCCCUGCCAGAGAAGUACAGACAGGGGUGCGGGGACCAGAGCUCUCCA